ACCAAGGCCACGAUCAGUAGCUGGUUUGAGAGAACGAUCAGCCACACUGGGACUGAGACACGGCCCAGACUCCUCCGGGAGGCAGCAGUGAGGAAUUUUCCGCAAUGGGCGAAAGCCUGACGGAGCAAUACCGCGUGAGGGAUGAAGGAUUUUGGUCUGUAAACCUCUUUUCUCAAGAAAGAAGUUCUGACGGUACUUGAGGAAUAAGCAUCGGCUAACUCCGUGCCAGCAGCCGCGGUAAUACGGGGGAUGCAAGCGUUAUCCGGAAUCAUUGGGCGUAAAGCGCCUGUAGGUUGUUUAAUAAGUCUGUUGUUAAAGACUNGGGCUUAACCCNAGNAAAGCAAUGGAAACUACUAGACUAGAGUAUGGNAGGGGUANAGGGAAUUUCUAGUGUAGCGGUGAAAUGCGUAGAUAUUAGAAAGAACACCGGUGGCGAAAGCGCUNUACUGGACCAUUACUGACACUCAGAGGCGAAAGCUAGGGUAGCNAAAGGGAUUAGAUACCCCUGUAGUCCUAGCCGUAAACGAUGGAUACUAGAUGUUGNGCAUUANUGUGCAGUNUCGUAGCUAACGCGUUAAGUAUCCCGCCUGGGGAGUACGNUCGCAAGGNUGAAACUCAAAGGAAUUGACGGGGGCCCGCACAAGCGGUGGAGCAUGUGGUUUAAUUCGAUGCAACGCGAAGAACCUUACCAGGGCUUGACAUACUACNAAUNNUUUUGAGAAAAANNAGUGCCUUCGGGAAUGUAGAUACAGGUGGUGCAUGGCUGUCGUCAGCUCGUGUCGUGAGAUGUUGGGUUAAGUCCCGCAACGAGCGCAACCCUUGUUUUUAGUUACCAACUUGUUGGGUUUUCUAGAAAGACUGCCGGUGACAAAUCGGAGGAAGGUGAGGAUGACGUCAAGUCAGCAUGCCCCUUAUGUCCUGGGCUACACACGUGCUACAAUGGCAGAGACAAAGCGUCGCUAGCUCGCGAGAGUAAGCUAAUCGCAUAAACUCUGCCUAAGUUCAGAUUGUAGGCUGCAACUCGCCUACAUGAAGUUGGAAUCGCUAGUAAUCGCUGGUCAGCCAUACAGCGGUGAAUCCGUUCCCGGGCCUUGUACACACCGCCCGUCACACCAUGGGAGCUGGUC
rnacentral:rRNA from 1 species